AAGCUGGUUGGGUGCUAAUACAUGCAAGUCGAGCGAACAGACGAGGAGCUUGCUCCUCUGACGUUAGCGGCGGAGGGGUGAGUAACACGUGGAUAACCUACCUAUAAGACUGGGAUAACUUCGGGAAACCGGAGCUAAUACCGGAUAAUAUAUUGAACCGCAUGGUUCAAUAGUGAAAGACGGUUUUGCUGUCACUUAUAGAUGGAUCCGCGCCGCAUUAGCUAGUUGGUAAGGUAGCGGCUUACCAAGGCAACGAUGCGUAGCCGACCUGAGAGGGUGAUCGGCCACACUGGAACUGAGACACGGUCCAGACUCCUACGGGAGGCAGCAGUAGGGAAUCUUCCGCAAUGGGCGAAAGCCUGACGGAGCAACGCCGCGUGAGUGAUGAAGGUCUUCGGAUCGUAAAACUCUGUUAUUAGGGAAGAACAAAUGUGUAAGUAACUAUGCACGUCUUGACGGUACCUAAUCAGAAAGCCACGGUAACUACGUGCCAGCAGCCGCGGUAAUACGUAGGUGGCAAGCGUUAUCCGGAAUUAUUGGGCGUAAAGCGCGCGUAGGCGGUUUUUAAGUCUGAUGUGAAAGCCCACGGUCAACCGUGGAGGGUCAUUGGAAAUGUAAAACUUGAGUGCAGAAGAGGAAAGUGGAAUUCCAUGUGUAGCGGUGAAAUGCGCAGAGAUAUGGAGGAACACCAGUGGCGAAGGCGACUUUCUGGUCUUGUAACUGACGCUGAUGUGCGAAAGGCGUGGGGAUCAACAAGGAUAAGA
rnacentral:rRNA from 1 species